AUGCCCCUGACCUCCAUAACCUCCAGGCUGAGGAGGGAGAGGCUGGCCAGGACCAGGGUGAGCCCCAGAGGGUCCCCAGGCACCAGGGGGGGCAGCGAGGAGAGCAGCUUCAGUAGCCAAUCCUCCAUCGACUUGGAGGUAGAGGUGGAUGACAAUAAGAGAGACUUAAGAGACAUAAGAGAGACUACAGCAAAACAACACGCUGGAGAGACUUUUGAGGGAAGGUUGCAGUUGGAUCUAGACUCAUCUGGAAAGUUUAAUGUUGGAGAUUACAGUCAGGAUAAUGCAGACCAUAGGAAUAGGGAGUCGACAAGACAUCAGGGUGCCUUUCCUAGGGAUAACAAGGAAGGAGUAUCUAUCAAAUCUGACCCUGGAGGGAGAGGGUACAAAGCAAUAAUUGAGUUGAGUCACCAACUUAACCCCGAUUUGACGAAUUUCAAAGAUGGUAACAGCACUUCAUGCUUUGAGAGGGAGAGUGAGGUUGUGGCAGUGGAAUGGACAAAGGUGAUGUGCUCAGGGGGUCUCUCAAAAGAGACUACCAGUACUGAGCCAACUACCACAUGUCCCUUUGCAUCUAAAAGAAAUGGAAACAAAGAGAUUCAAGUUGAUGACAAUGCAAAGACUAGUAUUGUGGAUGACACCAAGUAUCAAUGUCUUCCUUCUACUGUGAAUGUCACACUACCUGAAUUUAACCCUCCUACAGAGAAAAAGAUCAAACCUAUCAAGCCUGUCAAGAACAAAGAGAGUAGAGGCAGCACUAGCGUCCAAACCAAUCAGUCUUUCAACGUCUUGGCACACAAAGAUCACAUUCGGGGGAACAGCAAGUCCAAAAGCAACCUGAGGACUUCACCCAUUCCUUCACAAGUCAAAGGCAAAGUCAGAAAACCUCCUGAUCUCAUCGUCAAUGGGAUAAUCUCUACAAAGACUGGUCAGAAAAGCACAGACUCAACCUCUGUCAGAACGAGGGUUACAGAGCCCGUACAUCCAAGCUGCAAAAAGCUGAACAACGACAAAAAGGCACUUCAAAUAAAAGUACCUUGUCAGAAACAUAUUCAGCAGAGGGAACCGAAAAGUGCCAGACAAGCCAAAACUGGGUCACAACUGGGGACCCUGAGGGCCAAGUCAGCUGUGGACUACAUCACGUAUAGUGAUAUCUUCCAGGAAAUCAACACCGGGGAUGAGGAGGGACCAGUCAUCUAUGAGAUGUUUGCCGGCCCGGUGUUUGACAACAUAAGAGUUUCCAGUUCAUGUGAGAGGACGAGGCAGGUCCUGUCUGCCCCAUCUAGGAAGACCCAAACCCACAGGACCAAACACAAAUGCCCUAAACCACUGGAGAGCAGAAGAGUGAGGCGAAGCCCUGUGGACAAGGCCAAGCAGAGGAAGAACAGGGCUAUUAGGCCUAUAUCCAGGGGAAAGUCGCAUCUGACGCCUAUCGCCAGCACGCAUGACAAAGACCACGUGGUGGUUAUUUCUGGGCUUGACUGGCAAAUCCACAUCCAGACUAAGACUGAGCUGGUCCUCGGUAAAGAUGGAGAAGAGACAGUCUCUCCCAGCACACCAGAGGUUCAGGAGGGGGACCAUAUGUUGUCACUGUCAGUGAUCGAAGAAGUGCUGUCUAUGUCCAGCCAUGCGCCAAACCCACUAAUCUCUCACCACCGGCCGAGAGACGAAACCUCCCCCAGUCAGACAAAGACUAAACUCACAUCUCAUUCUGACCCAGAUGAUGAUCACCUCCAUGUGCUGCACAAUAGGGGACCCAUGGGGAACAACAUGUCAGAAAAUGAGAAAAACAAGGCAAAUCAUUUAGACCAUUCAUUCACCCCAUCCAAUUGCCCUGUGCAGCCUAAGAUCAACACCUGGACCUCAGGUAGCUGUGACAGCAGGACAGUGUCCCCGGUGUUCCAGAAGUUUCUGGAUGAUGUGGGGGAGGGACCACUGACCGAUGACCUGCUCCGUUGUCUGGCAGAAGAGCUGAUAUCACUGGAUGAGAGAGAUGGUGUAUGUCCAGAAAACAACUGUGACUCAGACCAGAGGGAAUUCAGAAACAAUUCUGAGCUGAGAUGUGAGAAGUCAUUACUGGGGGUAAGUUGGCACUAG
rnacentral:lncRNA from 13 species